rnacentral:rRNA from 1 species
AUUGAACGCUGGCGGCAGGCCUAACACAUGCAAGUCGAGCGAGCGAAGGACGGGUGCGGAAUGUCUGGGAAACUGCCUGAUGGAUGGGGAUAACUACUGGAAAAGGUAUCUAAUACAGCAUAACAGCCGAUGUGCGCAGAUGGGAUUAGCUAGUAGGGGGGGUAACGGCUCACAUAGGCGACGAUCCCUAGCUGGUCUGAGAGGAUGACCAGCCACACUGGGACUGAGACACGGUCCAGACUCCUACGGGAGGCAGCAGUGGGGAAUAUUGCACAAUGGGCGCAAGUCUGAUGCAGCCACGCUGCGUGUGUGAAGAAGGCCUUCGGGUUGUAAAGCACUUUUAGCGGGGAGGCGGUACCUGCAGAAGAAGCACCGGCUAACUCCGUGCCAGCAGCCGCGGUAAUAC